ACCCUCUCAGGGUUGCACCUGGAGAGGUUACAGUACUCUACCAGUCUCAACCGCAGGAGGGAGAGUCAAGCAAAGGCCUACCCAUUCCAUUCCUAGCUUGGGCAGUGGCUAGCAUGUGGAAGGCACACUGCUACAAGU